GGAAUGAAAGGGUGAGGAGGCUGGAAACAGCCGAGCAGCAGGCCCGGAGGCAGGGGCUAAACGGAAAGAGAUUCCAGAGUUCAGAAAGCACUAGACGGGGAGGCUGCAGGGACCCGGAACGUGGGGAGAACACCCAAGUCAUCACCCUGCCUGUAUUCGCCCCACUGCUCAGCAGAGACCCAGGCACCCAGGAGAGACACAGAAUGCAUUCCCUGAGUGAAGGCACAGCAGGAGGGGUGGAUAGAAUUGGCUGGUUUCUUCAGUGGCCAAGACUUGAAGCAGGCCUGGCAACCAGGCUGAAACACCACUGGCAGAAACCCAGCACCCACACAGCCAGGCAUGGGCUGGGGUUCCCCAGGGAGGACCAUCAAUCUUCUCACCCACCUAAGGCAUUUGGCCGCAGGAGGAGGGCCUCAGAGUUCCUACCCGAUGCUGAGUGGGACCCAAGGGAACAGGAUGCCAGGCCUCUGCGGGUCACCCGUGGUGGUAUGUGUGAAACCCCGGGCAGAGAACCCAGCGUGAGCCACGGGCCCAUCCCCAUCGGCCCAGCUCAGCCUGGCAAGGAGGCAGCCAGGUCCCGGAGAGCAGGGGCCCCAGAACCAGCUUCCAGAAUUGGGGGUGUCUCCCCAUCCUGACUUUCCUCCACAACCCACCUGGGGUCUGUCACUCUACACCACCCAAAGCUCUUUACAUCGUGCCCUGUGUUGCAAUUCAGUACAAGUGCCCUGUGCGGAAGGGUGGCCUUUUACUCAUUCCAGAAAUAAAUGGCCAUCAAGCACCCA
rnacentral:lncRNA from 1 species